AUAUAUUUAAUCAUUACUAAGUAUAUCGCUAAUUUUUCAUAAAUACUUGUAGUAAAUAAAAAGAUAAAUAAAAAUUAAAAUAUUAAAAUAAUUAGUUAUAAGUUUAAAAAAAAUGUUUUCAUUUUAUUUAAAUAUUCACGUUUUUUAUUUAAAUUUUGGUUCAGCAACAACAUGUUUAGUCAGAAAUUCAAGGCUGAAGAAAAACUUUACGAGUCACCAUGGAACAUACGUUUUAUCAAUUUAAUAAUGUAUUUAGUUGAACAUAUAAAGACAAUUUUUAAAAUUUUAAUCAUCGAAACUAAAUUUUAAUGUUUAAUAUGUGUGGUUUUUUUUUUAAAUAAAUAAUCGUAAGCUGAUUUUAAAUCUCAAUUAUUUCUAUUGAAACCAAUUUAAGGUAAAAAAAUAAAAUCUAGAAUUUUAACACAAAAAAACUUAUUUUUGAAUACGGUAGCCAUUUUCAGUAUAAAGUUAACGGUUUGUUGACUGAGGUACCUGAGCCAGAACUGGCAACAAAUAAGCCAAAUAGAUAACGCGGGUGGCAGCGAGUAACUUAAAUAGUUCAACAAAUUUGGUGACGACGGCAGACUGAAUAUUUUUCUCAGUUUUAGUAAAAAAGUGGUCUAAGGCAACAGGAUGCAGUCCAAACGUAGGUACAAUAGUGUUGAUUAAGGAGAACAACUUACCGCCUCUACAAUGGAGUCUGGGACGCGUUGUAAAAUUGUUUUUGUCAAAUAGUCUUCCCAAAAAAAGCAAUAUUUAAUGCUAGUUAUUUUCUAUACAAUUUUAUAAUUUUUUUGAUAAAACAUUAUGUUCUUCUUUAAUAUAAAAACUAAAGAAAGAAAA